rnacentral:rRNA from 1 species
CCCUUAGAUGUUCUGGGCCGCACGCGCGCUACACUGAUGAACGCAACGAGACCACCUGUACUGAAAGGCAUGGGUAAACUUGUGAAAGUUCAUCGUGAUGGGGAUAGAUUAUUGCAAUUAUUAAUCUUCAACGAGGAAUUCCUAGUAAGCGCGAGUCAUCAGCUCGCGUUGAUUACGUCCCUGCCCUUUGUACACACCGCCCGUCGCUCCUACCGAUUGAAUGGUCCGGUGAAAUCUUCGGAUUGCCGGAUAGGACUUCAUUGACCUAUCUGCGAGAAGUUGCUUGAACCUUAUCAUUUAGAGGAAGGAGAAGUCGUANCA